GUGGACGGUCAAAGUGGAGUGGUUAUACCCGAUCCCAUUUCGAACUCGGAAGUCAAGCACUCUUACGUUCCAAGUUGUACUGCACUUUGUGCGGGAAGCUUGGAAAGCUGUCCGCU
rnacentral:rRNA from 1 species